AAGGAACCUGGAAGUGCAGCGCCGGCGCUGAUGUGGCACUGGGCGGCGGCGGCGGGCCCACCGUGGGCCCCUGGGCCGAGCGAGGGUGGCUCGACACCUAGAGCUUGCCCCUGGCCUGGCCUCUUAGGCUGGCUUGAUUAAACAGGAUUUCCAUCCCUUUGGGGACUGAAAUGCAUGCACCCCAGGAGCUCGCCUAAAGCCCCCAGCGUUUCCGAGUGGAUGAAGCCGGGGUUCCGGACUGUCCACGCCCCCACUGGGCGUUCAGGCCAGGCCUCGAAACUCCCCUGUCCCCACUUUCUCCAGGGCGCGGAUAAUAGGACACAGGAGCCUACUCUUUGGACAGAAUAUUAUUUUGUUAAUGAACCUCCUUUGAAGUCCUCAUUAGCCAGAAAUGCGGUUGAUUCUGCGGAGAAGCCUAUGGGAACACAAGGACCUCUCUUCCAGCCAUCUCCACUAACAAUUCCAGCCAAACACCGUGGAAGAAAAGUGUGGCCCUACUCACACGCACACCAGCAAUGGCUCAGGAAUCCUAUCUGCCACCCUAACCAGGCUAUCACAAAGUGAGGAUUCAAAAAAUCCUUAAAAAAUAUUAGCAAAAAGAACUUGACAGUGUAUAAAAAUAAUUAUAUAUCAUGACCAAGUAAGAUUUUCUCCGAAGAUGUGAGGCUUUUUCAAUAUUCAACAAUCAACCAAUACAGCAUGAUGAUAACGGCCUAAAAGGGGGGGGGGGGAAUACAUAAAUGUAUCAGUCCUUGUAGAAUAAGCACUUGACACAAUUCAGCACCAUAAAAAUGCUACGGAAAAAUAGGAAUAGAAGGGAACACUCACACUUUAAUAAAAAGCCCCUACCGGGCUGGUGCAUGGCUCACUUGGUUAAUCCUCUGCCUGCGGCGCCGGCAUCCCAUAUGGACGCUGGGUUCUAGUCCCGGUUGCUCCUCUUCCAGUCCAGCUCUCUGCUGUGGCCCGGGAGGGCAGUGGAGGAUGGCCCAGGUGCUUGGGUGCCUGCAGCUGCGUGGAAGACCAGGAAGAAGCACCUGGCUCCUGGCUUCAGAUCGAUGUAGCUCUGGCCGUAGCGGCCAUUUGGGGAGUGAACCAACGGAGGGAAGACAUUUCUCUCUAUCUCUCUCUCGCACUGUCCAACUCUGCCUGUCAAAUAAAUAAAUAAAAAACUUUUUUAAAAAAAGCCCCUACCAAAAAAAAAAAAAGCCUAACAAAAAGCUAACAUUAUAGUUAAUCUGAAAGAUUGGAGGUUUUCCAUUUUCCGUACGUACUUUAUAAUUCAUCUUUGAAAUGACAAAGUUAUAGCAACGCAGACCAGAUGGGUGGAUUGCUGAGAGGUCAAGGAGGCAGGAUGGGAGGGAAGUAGGUAAGUGGGUGUGGCUAUUGAGGGAUCCCAGCAGGGACAGAAACGACUGUAUCAUGGGAUUUGUUGGGUAUUAUACCAUGAAUCUGAAAAAUUGUUAGUUUUGGAGGAUGCUGGGUAGCGGGUAACAGGAUCUCUCUGUAUUAAUUCCUACAACUACAUAUGCAUUUACAAUGAUCUCAAAACAAACAGGUUAAUUAAAAAUAUAUUUUGAACUA